GUGAAUCAUCGAAUCUUUGAACGCAUAUUGCACUUUCUGGUAUUCCGGAGAGUAUUUCUAUUUGAGGGUCAUUUGAAAUAAUAUAAAUUCCAAGACUUCUCGGAAUUUAAAAUGGGUUGUCCAUUUUUGUGGUCGUCGAAAAUCCAAGACAAUCUCAUUUUCUUGGGUUGUGUGAUACUUUCAGUUACCUUGUUACUUAACCAGUAAUCAUCGGGCGUGUUAUUAAUUUUGCAAGAGAU
rnacentral:misc_RNA from 1 species